rnacentral:rRNA from 1 species
UUGGAGGGCAAGUCUGGUGCCAGCAGCCGCGGUAAUUCCAGCUCCAAUAGCGUAUAUUAAAGUUGUUGCAGUUAAAAAGCUCGUAGUUGGAUUUCUGUUAAUAAUUUAUAUAUAAUAUUUAACAUAUUUAUAUAAUAUUAACAUAAUUCAUAUUACUAUUUAUAGUAUAUGAAACUUUACUUUGAGAAAAUUAGAGUGCUUAAAGCAGGCUUUUGCCUUGAAUACUAGAGCAUGGAAUAAUAUUAAAGAUUUUUAUCUUUCUUAUUGGUUCUAAGAUAGAAAUAAUGAUUAAUAGGGACAGUUGGGGGCAUUUGUAUUUAACAGUUAGAGGUGAAAUUCUUAGAUUUGUUAAAGACAAACUAAUGCGAAAGCAUUUGCCAAGGAUGUUUUCAUUAAUCAAGAACGAAAGUUAGGGGAUCGAAGACGAUCAGAUACCGUCGUAGUCUUAACCAUAAACUAUGCCAACUAGAGAUUGGAGGUUGUUCCUUACUC